UACGUAGGGUGCAAGCGUUGUCCGGAAUUAUUGGGCGUAAAGGGCUCGUAGGCGGUCCAUCGCGUCGGGAGUGAAAAGCUGGGGCUUAACCCCAGUCCUGCUUCCGAUACGGGUGGACUAGAGGUAGGCAGGGGAGAACGGAAUUCCUGGUGUAGCGGUGAAAUGCGCAGAUAUCAGGAAGAAUAUCCGUGGCGAAGGCGGCUCUCUGGUACGGCACUGACGCUGAGACGCGAAAGCGUGGGGAGCGAACAGG
rnacentral:rRNA from 1 species